rnacentral:rRNA from 1 species
GGAAAAGAAACUAACAAGGAUUCCCCUAGUAACUGCGAGUGAAGCGGGAAAAGCUCAAAUUUAAAAUCUGGUGGUCUCUGGCCAUCCGAGUUGUAAUCUAGAGAAGUGUUACCCGCGUCGGACCGUGUNUAAGUCUCCUGGAAUGGAGCGUCAUAGAGGGUGAGAAUCCCGUCUUUGACACGGACUACCGAGGCUUUGUGGUAUGCUCUCAAAGAGUCGAGUUGUUUGGGAAUGCAGCUCAAAAUGGGUGGUAAAUUCCAUCUAAAGCUAAAUAUUGGCGAGAGACCGAUAGCGAACAAGUACCGUGAGGGAAAGAUGAAAGAACUUUGGAAAGAGAGUUAAACAGUACGUGAAAUUGCUGAAAGGGAAACGCUUGAAGUCAGUCGCGUUGGCCGGGAAUCAGCCUUGCUUUUGCUUGGUGUACUUUCUGGUUGACGGGCCAGCAUCAGUUUUGACCGGUGGAAAAAGUUCAGGGGAAUGUGGCAUCUUCGGGUGUGUUAUAGCCCUUGUUCGUAUACAUCGGUUGGGACUGAGGAACUCAGCACGCCGCAAGGCCGGGUCUUUGACCACGUUCGUGCUUAGGAUGCUGGCAUAAUGGCUUUAAUCGACCCGUCUUGAAACACGGACCAAGGAGUCUAACAUGCCUGCGAGUGUUUGGGUGGAAAACCCGAGCGCGUAAUGAAAGUGAAAGUUGAGAUCCUUGUCAUGGGGAGCAUCGACGCCCGGACCUGACGUUUUCUGACGGCCCUGCGGUAGAGCAUGUAUGUUGGGACCCGAAAGAUGGUGAACUAUGCCUGAAUAGGGUGAAGCCAGAGGAAACUCUGGUGGAGGCUCGUAGCGAUUCUGACGUGCAAAUCGAUCGUCAAAUUUGGGUAUAGGGGCGAAAGACUAAUCGAACCAUCUA